AACAUAUUAAAAUAAUUCAUAAAUACAUAUAAAUUUCACUAAUUGAUUCCAUUUUUUUUAUAAAAAUUUCGGCAGCAUUUCUGCUUAUUUUUACAUAAAACCCCCUGCAAAAUUUCAAAACAUAAUCAACCCAAUUCCAGUAUUUCAAUCAAUGCAUUUAUAUAAUUAAAUCUUACUUGACAUAUUGACAUAAUAACUUAAUUAAUAAAAAUCCUAUUAUCAUUUCUAAUUAACUCAUAAAACUAAUCAAGUCAUUUCAAUUCGAUACCAAUGCCAUAAAGGACUUCUACCAUUUUACUAAUAUAAUCAUCAAAACACAUAAUAUCUUACUUUACAACAAAACUAUAUAACAUACCAAAAUAGCUAUUAUAAUUCUUAUGUACAUGCCACUUUCAUUUAAGAAAGAAAACAUCACUGAAAUCUCUAUGCAGGAGUCAGGAUUGACCUGGAUGCUAAACCAAGACUCAGACCCCUUUUUCAACCUACGCACGGAAACAACUGUACGCUGAGUAUUUUAUACUCAGUGGUAUUACCAUAAUUCAAAUUAUAAUAACAAUAAAGAAUUAUAAUUACGAAGCAUGUAACUAUCUGAUUUCUUAAAUAUCAAUUAAUUCAUAAACUUUCAUUAUUUAACAAUAACAAUACAAUUUUUAGCUAUUCUUCAAUCUCAAUCACAUAUCACAUGUAGCAAUUUCAAUCACUACAUAAACAUUAAAUUCAUGCCUUUUAUUUUCAAUAUCAAUUUCAAUCUGCAAAUUUUAAGUUUUCUCAUAUUCAAUACCACAAUCGAUCAAAUUCAUUUGAUUUUCUCAUUUCAAUUAUUCACCCUAUUAACAAUCUGGACUUUGAAGGAUACACGGAUUCCAACCCAAACACACCAAUACGGCACAUUGUGCCUAAAACGGUACAUAGUACCUGAUCAGUAUACGACACAUAAGUGCCUGAAACGACAGACGAGGUGCCUGAUACGACACAUAAAGUGCCUGAGAUACGACACAUAAAGUGCCUGAUGUACGACACAUAAAGUGCCUAAUCGGCAAAGCUGAUAAAUCCCUUACUCUUCCAAAUCCUAUGGCAUGCCAACUAUAUCCCGACUUAGCCCGACUAGUUAAUAGGGUAUUCAAAUUCUCAAUUCACUUUCAUUUCCAAUUCAAGAUCAUUUUUCCACUUUCUAAUCAAUUAACAAUUUAAUACCAAUACAUAUAUCAAAUAAUCACAUAUAAUCAUAUUUCGAUUCAAUUCAAACCACUUUUCAAUCAAUACACAAUUCACAUACUCACACAUAUUCAUAAAUUAUUUCACUUUAUUUAAUUCAUAUUUUAAAUUCAUUUUCCAAUCAAAUUCAAAUCACUAAUUACUUUUCAAUCAAUAUACAUUUCAACUACUCACAUAUUUCCAUCAUUCGAUUCAAUUUGAUUCAAUUCAAAUCACUAUUAUCACUUCAAUUGCUUACCUAAUUUUACUUACCAUGCAUUUUAAUUAAAAUAUAACAAUUAAUAAUAACUAAAUUUGAAUUAUAGUAAUACAAACCCGAAUUUGCUCGAUUAUUCCUCAACGACCUUCUCCUUCCCUUUUUGUGCCGAUACCUCGAAUUCUUUAUUAGCUACGAAAAUUAAAUAAUUAAUUACAACACAAAUUUUACAAUAAAAAUAAAAUUUCUAUCAAAUUUUAUACUUUAAUUCCAAUUUAAUCCUAACUAGAUUUAUCUACUUUUCUAAUUUAAUUCACACUCUAUUUCUAUUCAAAUUUCUUCUAAACUCAAAUUUAUCUACUAAUUUUUCAGCAUUUUUCACUAAUUUCGAAUUUUCCUCAAUUUAAUCGCUAAAAUUCAAAACUUAUAGUUUAGUUUACAAUUCAAUCCUUUAUUCAAUUCCAAAUAAAAUCUCUAUCAAAUAAAUCCUCAAUUCCAUCAUUUAUUCAACAUAAACCCUACUCAAAAAUCUAUUAACUUUCAAAUUUUCAACUUAAAUCCAAGAGUAUUUCACUCUAGGAUUCCAAAAACAUCAAAUUUAUGAGAAAAUGACUUGAUUUAGCUUACCUAUUAAGCUUCAAAAUCUCAAUUUUCCCCCUUUCUUUUCUUUCCCUUUUUCUUCCCCUGUUUUCGUCUCUUUCUCUGUUUCUUUUCUGUUCUUCUUCUCUUUUUCUAUUCUUUUAUUUCAUUUGUUUUCUUUUACUUUUUGUUAUAAUAAUAUAACAUAUAAUAAUUAAAAUAAAUAUCUUUUACCACACAUGUCAUAUUCAUAACCAUACAUUUGUCUUAAUCUUAUUUAUUUCACAAUAUAAUAAUAAUAAUAAUAAUAAUAAUAAUUUAAUAAUAUAUUUUAACACAUAAAAAUCUUAGAUUUUUAUGCUUAUGCCGCCUCAAAUUUGGCAAUUGGCAUAAUUACCUAUUCAAUCCCCUUUAUUUUAUUUUAAUCUAUAAUUAAACUUUCACUUUUAUUGUAAUUUAAUCCUUUUUACUAAUUACUCUUAAUUAGACUAAAUUCACCUAAUUAAUACCUAAUUAAGUACUAAACUAAACUCAUAAUUACUUCUAAUAAUUAUUUUUGAACUCAAUUUACUAAGACGGAGGCCUGAUAUUAUACUUUUCCGAAGCCCGUGAAUUUUUGGCUCAUUACAUGUUAAUAGGGUUAUGUGCGUGCUUGUACGUUAAAUGUGAUUGUAUGAAGAUCAUUACAGUGUAUAUUGGGAUUCAUCAUUUGUUACGGAUCACCAAGUAUUAUAUGUCUCUAUGGUGAACCUAGUGUAGUGGAGGGACGUACUAUUAUACGAUUAUUCAUAUGAUUACCUAUGGGUUUUGCACUUCGAUGCCCUGGUAUGGUGUAGAUACUGCUCAGACAAGCUUUUUGAUGUGGUGUAGUUGCCCGUGUAUCCGAAUUUGUUCACUAGAAUUCAUCGAGAUAAAUAGUUAAUGAAAAGUGAAAAAUGGUAAUGAUAUGAUACAAGUUUGAUAACUAAAUGGUUAAAUGUUGAUUGGAUUAUGAGAAUGGUAUUGAAAAUGUUGAUUUUAUGUGAAUUGGAUUGCUAUGUGUUUGAGUUACCAUAUUCAAAGGUUACAUGUUAAACUCACAUUAUUGAUAUUUGAUUUUCUAUGUUUAGGCAAACUUGACAAGCUAAAUAACUUAUUGUGUUUAAUUGUAAAAUGAGGUAAGUUUUUGUUUAAUGUCUUUGAGCUUACUAAGCAUUCAAUAUGCAUACUCCAUUGUUUUCCCUUUUCCUUAUAGAUUGUCACUUUGCGGAAUGUGUCAAGCAGAUUACCUUGAAGCUCACACUAUUCAGUUUUUGAAUCGGUAGCUUUUCAAUCGUUUUAAGUCCGAAAUUAUGGCAUGUACAUAGGUGUUUUAUAUAUGUUAACUUUGAAUGUUAGACAUAGUUUGAAACCUACCUAAUGCAUGAUUUUGGCAAUGUUAAUACCUAGUUGAAAUGGUAUGUUAAUUAAAAUAACAUGUUUGAACAUGGAUUAAUAUAGAUGAGAUGUUGGUAUUUGAAUGACUAGUUGGUUGGAUGGAUGGUUUAUAAUUGCAUUAGUUGAAUUGGUAUGUUUUGGGUUAAAUUGAGCUUAUAUUGAAUGGAUACAAUGGAAAUGGUUAAAUGGUUUGUUUUGGUAUGUCUUUAGUAUGGUUUAAAUCAAGUAAAAAUGCUGAUUUGUUGUGUAAAUUGUAUAGGUUAUUUGGAAGCAUUAAAAUAGGUACCAAAUGGUUCAUUUUUUACCAUUGUCUUGAUGUCGCAACACCAAUGCCUCCAUCACCACUCAAGGAGUUGGACUUUAACAAGGUGCAUUUCAAGUGGCCUGUCUUCAAAGUCACAACAUCAAGUGAUGUCACAACACCUACCUCCAUGGUCGUGAUGCUAAGUCACCAAUGUCGCAACCUCGAGUUCAAACACCAAAUGGAGGAAGUGUAACACCCCUUACCCGUAUCCAACACCGGAAUAGGGUACGAGGCAUUACCAAAACACAUACGCUUGUAAACGUAUUUAAGUGAGUUAUAAAAUUUCAACUAAAUUAAAACUUUCAAAAUAAUUAGAAUGCUUCUAUAACUUUUCACAAUAUAUCCUCAAAAUAUUAUAAUCAUAAUAAUUAGGGCCUACGAGACCCGGUACAUACUCAUACAAUUCAAUGCUUCAUUUCCAUUUCAUUUAAUUCGCAAUUUCUCAUGCUCACAAUUUAGAUCAUAUCACUAGCAAUUUCCAUUUAAUUCACGUACAAUUCAAUGUCACUAAGUUUAACACUAAUACGUAUUUACCAUUUAACUCAACGUUUAUCGAUUAUAUCAUUCAAUAACACAUUUAUGAAAUUCUUAAUUUUGCAAUGAAAAUAUCACUUUAGCUUAAAUAACAACAUCAUCCUGGUAUAAAUACACUACCAC
rnacentral:lncRNA from 1 species